rnacentral:lncRNA from 1 species
AGCAAAUGGACUUUAUCUUGCCAUCUGCCAAAAAAUGUACCAAAUGCUCUUACUUUGUCAAAAAGUAUCUGCACUUUUGGAACCAAGUCUUCAUAACUUUGAACUGAUGAAUGCAAUCGAAGAAAUACUUUUAUUACUUACACAUUUGACCUCUCAUUCUUUAUUUGGCACCUUGCUUCUCUCAUAUCCUCCUCGCUUGGACACAUCACCACCUCGGCCUCCCAAAGUGCUGGGAUUACAGGCGUGAGCCACCACACCUGGCUUUGUAUUGAUUUAUUAAUUGGUCUAUAAUUCCCAUCUCCCUAACCCGUAUAAAAACAAACUAUAACCCGACCACCUUGGGUACACUUUCUCAGGACCUCUUGAGACUGUUCCCUGGGCCAUGGUCACUCAUACUGGUUCACAGUAAGCCUCUUUAAAAUAUUUUAAAGUUUGGUUUUUCCAUUAACAUGACGACGAGGAGGAUGACAAGUAGCUGCCAUGUGCGAGUGCUUACCAUGUUUUAGACUGUGAUGAGUGCCUGCCUGAAUCUAGUUAUAUCUCCAUGAUGAUAGUAUGACAUAAGAACUAUUUUAUCAUUAUUAUGUGUCAGUGAUUUUAAAAUAACACAGAAAAUAUGUAAAGCUCUACACUAAGUUAAUGAUAUAUGUAAGCCAUGCAAAAAUUAUUGAGAAUAAAAUACCCUGAAUAAAGCACUGAAGUCACAGAAAGGGCUUAGCUAUGAUUGUGCUAAGCCUUGGAAAAACAGGUGGAAUAAAAUCUAGAGUCCUCUUUCCCUCUUUCCCCCCAUUUACUCUCUUUGGAUGGACCACACUACAGCCACUCUGGUGCUCUGUCUACCCCUCAAACACACCCAGCCUGUUAGAGGCUGAAUAGUGCCCUUUUCAGCCUCCUAAAGUCAUAUGCCCAAGUCCUAAGCCCCAGUACCUCAGAAUGUGACUGUAUUUGCAAAAGUGGUCUCUACAGAGACGAUUAAUGUAAAAUGAGGUCAUUGGGGUGGGCCCUAAUCCAAUAUGACAUAUACUCAAUAUGACUAUGAUAUUAUGAUGUAUGUAUUUUGGGUUUUGUCCAUGAUUCUAGGUUCUCAGCUCCUGUAAGCCUUGCUACUUCCUAAGUGACUAGAGCAAUAAGAAUAUCUUUUGUUAAAUUAUUUGGCCUUUUGUCCUGGGUUCUUGAAACACCCUGGGAACAGCUUCAGAGCAGUGAAGGAGAAAGAUUUUUUUUGUUAUUUGUAACAAAGCGUUUUCAACCACAUCUGAGCUGGUGUGAAUGAGGUGAUUUUUGGAAACUCAGGGUGGGCAAGUGAUGGGGCGCUCAUUGCCAGGGGAGAACCAGCCAUGUGGUCAGCCCCACACUCCAACCACCCAACCACCCAACCACCAGGGAGGGGAGAGAGGCUCAGGGUUAAGCUGAUUACCAAUGGCUGAUUGAUUCAAUUAGUCAUAUCUAUGUAACAAAGCUUUCGUUAAAACCCCAAAAGAACUGGCUUGGAAGAGCUUGUGGAUAGCUGAGC